AUUGAACGCUGGCGGCAUGCCUUACACAUGCAAGUCGAACGGCAGCGCGGACUUCGGUCUGGCGGCGAGUGGCGAACGGGUGAGUAAUGCAUCGGAACGUACCUUUCAGUGGGGGAUAACGUAGCGAAAGUUACGCUAAUACCGCAUAUUCUGUGAGCAGGAAAGCAGGGGAUCGCAAGACCUUGCGCUGAUGGAGCGGCCGAUGUCAGAUUAGCUAGUUGGUGGGGUAACGGCUCACCAAGGCGACGAUCUGUAGCGGGUCUUAGAGGAUGAUCCGCCACACUGGAACUGAGACACGGUCCAGACUCCUACGGGAGGCAGCAGUGGGGAAUUUUGGACAAUGGGCGCAAGCCUGAUCCAGCCAUGCCGCGUGAGUGAAGAAGGCCUUCGGGUUGUAAAGCUCUUUCGGCCGGGAAAAAAUCGCCUGGGUUAAUACCCUGGGUGGAUGAUGGUACCGGAAUAAGAAGCACCGGCUAACUACGUGCCAGCCGCCGCUGUAA
rnacentral:rRNA from 1 species